UCUUUCUAUUGCCUUCCCAGUUUGCAUGCUUUGUUGAAACGCAACACCAUUGGAGAGAUCCAUGGGGCAAGGAACUGAGGUGCUCAGUCGAAUUGCUCUCAAGGCACUGAAUGCUGACAACAACACUGAGUUCCAACCUCUGUGCCAUCCCCACCUCUCCACACCAACCUCAGAAAGGCUGGCUUCCUCUUAACCCACCGACGGGCAACAACGGAGAUAAAAGCUUCGUCGUGCAUUUAUGCAUUUGCUCAACUACUCCACGGAUGUUUACCAAGUCCUGUCGCAUGCUGUCCGCUCUUCUUGAAUGUUUAUACCCUGUAUGUUGGAAGUUCCUUUGUAAAAUGACUGAAAUAUCUGCCUUCAAGCAAUCGAUGAACUUCACGUAA